UUUAUUUUCCUGCACAUUAAGUUAUUUUAAUUAAUUUAGUAGAAAUUUUCAUUUUUAUGUUCUCUGCCAAUAAGUUUAUUUUCCUGCUCAUUGUUUGCUUUCUCUUGGGUGCCUGUGAUUCACAUAGGGUAAGCUCCGGAAAAUUAGCUCAAUCGGAUCUGCAAAUGGGAGGAAUACCUAACAGCAGCAGGUGAAGUUUUCUUUUUAUGUGCAGUUUUUAGUAUGCAUUCUUUAUUUUUAUCUCUUUUGCCCAUAUUCUGUACAUCAAUUUUGUUCAUUUAGUCUGCAUUUUCUGUAUUUUUAUCUUUUUCCUUCUUCAUUUACAUGGUUGCACUGCUCGAAAAAUUUUUCUCAUUUUGUUGCUUGGAUCUUUGAUCAUCAUCUUUUUUUUUUUUAUGCAUAUUUUGUAAUGGGUAGUUGGUGGAGGGACGUUGGUCUCUCUUUUGUUUAUCUGAGUAUUACAUUCGAUUGUAUUGCACUUGGUUUCUUGGUACCAGACUUUUGAUGAAACUGACAGUUUAUGAAAUGAUUGUAGAAUGUUAAUUAUGCUAUUUUCUUAAUUUCUACAGUUAUAGACUUUGGUAAUGUCAUUGCAUUUAGGUGCUGAAAUGUCCCAAAAAAUAAAAUAAAAUAAAAUAAAAUAAAACACCCCGGUGACGAAUAUGUGAGGCUACUGAAGACAAGAACUGUAGUUUUGAAGCAGUAGUAUAAAACAAAUGGUUAGAUUUUAUUUGAUUUUAAGGUGUGCUAGCCAUUUUAAUCAAUUUAAAGCGUUAUUUCUUUGAUUUAGGGCCUAUCACGAAACUUUUAGAGUAUUAGUGUUAGGUUUCAUUUAAUGAUCAUUACUUAAUUGUUUUAAAUUUCAAACUUCAGUUGUAUUGCUGAAAGUUUGAUUACUAAAUUACUUUGCAGAAACAGAGUUCACAAGAGCUAAGAGGAUACUAAGAAGCAAAGACUUACAACAUACGUAUUGACUUAAAAUGGUCUUAUUCUCUUUUGUUUCUCUUCCAUGUUUUGUUGUAUGUUUAACCAUUCUGUUUUCUAUUUGUUUUCGUAACUCUUUUUGCUUUCAAAGUUUACUGCUCGGUUAAAUAUUUGUACUAAAUUCUUCAUGUUGUUAAGAUUGGGUAAAUUUAGGGAUUCAUGAAUGGGUCCGUGGUUGAAGCUCAGGAAAAUUAGCUCAAUCGGAUCUGCAAAUGGGAGGAAUACCUAACAGCAGCAUGUAAAGUUUUCUUUUAAUGUGCAGUUACUUAUGCAUUUUUUAAAAUUUCCACCAUUUCCAGGGAUUGGUGUGUUAUGAAAAGGGAUGUGAUAUGUAAGAACUGAAAUUUACCAACCACCCUUUCUUUAAAUGGUUUCUGAAGAAUGGGUUUGAUAGAAAAGAAUCUAAGUGCUCUGCAAAUAUGCUUGCGCCUCUCAUUGUUUGCUUUCUCUUGGGUGCCUGUGAUUCACAUUGGGUAAGCUCCGGAAAAUUAGCUCAAUCGGAUCUGCAAAUGGGAGGAAUACCUAACAGCAGCAGGUAAAGUUUUCUGUUUAUGUGCAGUUUUUAAGUUACUUAUGCAUUUUUUAUUUUUAUCUAUUUUGCCCAUAUUCUGUACGUAAAUUUUGUUCAUCUAGUCUGCAAUUUCUGUAUUUUUCAUUGGCAUAGGUAUUGCAGCGACUGCUGUUGAACUGCUUCCCUCUGGAACUGCUUCUUGGUCUAGGGAGUUUUUGUGUAAAAGGAGACGUAGUGUUUAGCUAUUUCCCAGUAACCUCCCACAACUACCCCGAUAUUCUAUCAAAUUCUUUUUUCUCAUUCCCUCUCCCAGGUUUCCAUUCCACCAUUUUCAGCGAUUAAAGGUGUGUAUCACUGUUAAAAGUAAAAAUACUUCUCAACCUCAAAUCGUUUUGGUCCUGUCAAGCUUAAAUAGGGAU
rnacentral:lncRNA from 1 species